rnacentral:rRNA from 1 species
GCUUGUCUCAAAGAUUAAGCCAUGCAUGUCUAAGUAUAAACGACUUUAUACUGUGAAACUGCGAAUGGCUCAUUAUAUCAGUUAUAGUUUAUUUGAUGGUCCUUGCUACUUGGAUAACCGUAGUAAUUCUAGAGCUAAUACAUGCAUUAAACCCCGACUUCUGGAAGGGGUGUAUUUAUUAGAUGGAAACCAAACGGCUUCGGCCGUCUCAUUGGUGACUCUGAAUAACUUUGGGCUGAUCGUAUGGCCUUGUGCCGACGACGUUUCCUUCGAAGGUGUGCCCUAUCAACUGUCGACUGUGAUAUAGACGCUCACAGUGGUUUUGACGGGUAACGGGGAAUCAGGGUUCGAUUCCGGAGAGGGAGCCUUAAAAACGGCUACCACAUCCAAGGAAGGCAGCAGG